UACGUAGGGGGCAAGCGUUGUCCGGAAUCAUUGGGCGUAAAGCGCGUGUAGGCGGCUCGGUAAGUCUGCUGUGAAAGUCCAGGGCUCAACCCUGGGAUGCCGGUGGAUACUGUCGAGCUCGAGUCCGGAAGAGGCGAGUGGAAUUCCUGGUGUAGCGGUGAAAUGCGCAGAUAUCAGGAGGAACACCAAUGGCGAAGGCAGCUCGCUGGGACGUGACUGACGCUGAGACGCGAAAGCGUGGGGAGCAAACAGGAUUGAGAA
rnacentral:rRNA from 1 species